rnacentral:rRNA from 1 species
AUGGGGGAAGGUGAUGAAGAUGUUGGUGAAGAUGACAGAGGUGUUGGUGUAGAUUGCGGUGACGAUGAUGGACCCGGCAACGUUCUGGCGCCACCGGAAGAGAGGGGGAGAGGGCCCUUCUUCUUCUUCCUUGACCUUCUCCCUAGAUGGGAGAAGGGGUUCCCCUUUGGUCCAUGGCCUCCAUGGCGGCGGACGGGCGAGAGCCCCUCCGAGAUUGGGUCUAUCUCUCUGUCUCUCUCUGUUUCCGCAUUCCAGAUUCUGGCCUUUCACCGUUUCUUAUAUUCCCGGAGAUUCGUAACUCCGAUUGGGCUGAAAUUUUAA